GUUUGAUCCUGGCUCAGGACGAACGCUGGCGGCGUGCUUAACACAUGCAAGUCGAACGGUGAUGUCAGAGCUUGCUCUGGCGGAUCAGUGGCGAACGGGUGAGUAACACGUGAGUAACCUGCCCCCGACUCUGGGAUAACUGCUAGAAAUGGUAGCUAAUACCGGAUAUGACGACUGGCCGCAUGGUCUGGUCGUGGAAAGAAUUUCGGUUGGGGAUGGACUCGCGGCCUAUCAGGUUGUUGGUGAGGUAAUGGCUCACCAAGCCUACGACGGGUAGCCGGCCUGAGAGGGUGACCGGCCACACUGGGACUGAGACACGGCCCAGACUCCUACGGGAGGCAGCAGUGGGGAAUAUUGCACAAUGGGCGCAAGCCUGAUGCAGCAACGCCGCGUGAGGGAUGACGGCCUUCGGGUUGUAAACCUCUUUUAGUAGGGAAGAAGCGAAAGUGAC
rnacentral:rRNA from 1 species